UGAUGGCGAGUGGCGAACGGGUGAGUAAUACAUCGGAACGUGCCCUGGGGUGGGGGAUAACUAGUCGAAAGAUUGGCUAAUACCGCAUACGACCUGAGGGUGAAAGUGGGGGACCGCAAGGCCUCAUGCUAUAGGAGCGGCCGAUGUCUGAUUAGCUAGUUGGUGGGGUAAAGGCCCACCAAGGCGACGAUCAGUAGCUGGUCUGAGAGGACGAUCAGCCACACUGGGACUGAGACACGGCCCAGACUCCUACGGGAGGCAGCAGUGGGGAAUUUUGGACAAUGGGCGAAAGCCUGAUCCAGCAAUGCCGCGUGUGUGAAGAAGGCCUUCGGGUUGUAAAGCACUUUUGUCCGGAAAGAAAUGGCUCUGGUUAAUACCUGGGGUCGAUGACGGUACCGGAAGAAUAAGGACCGGCUAACUACGUGCCAGCAGCCGCGGUAAUACGUAGGGUCCAAGCGUUAAUCGGAAUUACUGGGCGUAAAGCGUGCGCAGGCGGUUGUGCAAGACCGAUGUGAAAUCCCCCGAGCUUAACUUGGGAAUUGCAUUGGUGACUGCACGGCUAGAGUGUGUCAGAGGGGGGGUAGAAUUCCACGUGUAGCAGUGAAAUGCGUAGAGGAUGUGGAGGAAUACCGAUGGCGAAGGCAGCCCCCCUGGGAUAACACUGACGCUCAUGCACGAAAGCGUGGGGCAGCAAACAGGAAUUAGAUACCCUGGGUAGUCCACGGCCAUAAACGAUGUUCAACGUAGGUGGGUAGGGGAAUUCAGUUCCUUGAGUAACGUAGCCUGACACGCGGUGAUAGUUGGCACGGCAUGGGCGAAGUACGUCCGCUAGAGACUCAACACUCAA
rnacentral:rRNA from 1 species